CAGUCGCGUCUGCUGGGGAUCAGCCUUCUCUCGAGUCGGCGUACUUCCCAGUGAACGGGUCAGCAUCGAUUCAGGCUGUCAGAGAAUGGCGAGGGGAACGUGGCAUCCUCGGAUGUGUUAUAGCCUCUCGUCGCAUGUGACAGCCGGGAUCGAGGAAUUCAGCACGCCGCAAGGCCGGGGUUCCGCCCCACGUUACGUGCUUAGGAUGCCGACAUAAUGGCUUUAAUCGACCCGUCUUGAAACACGGACCAAGGAGUCUAACAUAUAUGCGAGUGUUU
rnacentral:rRNA from 1 species